UACGAAGGGGGCUAGCGUUGUUCGGAAUUACUGGGCGUAAAGCGCGUGUAGGCGGGUCUUUAAGUCAGGGGUGAAAUGCCAGGGCUCAACCUUGGAACUGCCUUUGAUACUGGAGACCUUGAGUCCGGGAGAGGUGAGUGGAAUUGCGAGUGUAGAGGUGAAAUUCGUAGAUAUUCGCAAGAACACCAGUGGCGAAGGCGGCUCACUGGCUCGUAACUGACGCUCAGGCGCGACAGCGUGGGGAUCAAACAGG
rnacentral:rRNA from 1 species